rnacentral:rRNA from 1 species
CAAAAACAUGUCCUUAAGGUCUGACCUGCGGCCGCGGCCGUGCAAAGGUAGCAUAAUCAUUAGUCUUUUAAUAGAGGGCUGGAAUGAAAGGUUUAACGAGGAACUAGCUGUCUCAUUUUAUUUGAAAAUUUAAUUUUUUAGUCAAAAAGCUAAAAUUUUAUUGGAAGACGAGAAGACCCUAUAGAUCUUUACAUGUGUUUUGUUGGGGUGACAAAAAUAUUUUUUAUUUAUUUAACAUUGAUUUAUGAAUAUUAGAUCCAUUAUUAUUGAUUAUUAGACUAAGUUACCUUAGGGAUAACAGCGUAA